AAAUUGAAGAGUUUGAUCAUGGCUCAGAUUGAACGCUGGCGGCAGGCCUAACACAUGCAAGUCGAGCGGUAGCACAGAGAGCUUGCUCUCGGGUGACGAGCGGCGGACGGGUGAGUAAUGUCUGGGAAACUGCCUGAUGGAGGGGGAUAACUACUGGAAACGGUAGCUAAUACCGCAUAACGUCGCAAGACCAAAGUGGGGGACCUUCGGGCCUCAUGCCAUCAGAUGUGCCCAGAUGGGAUUAGCUAGUAGGUGGGGUAACGGCUCACCUAGGCGACGAUCCCUAGCUGGUCUGAGAGGAUGACCAGCCACACUGGAACUGAGACACGGUCCAGACUCCUACGGGAGGCAGCAGUGGGGAAUAUUGCACAAUGGGCGCAAGCCUGAUGCAGCCAUGCCGCGUGUGUGAAGAAGGCCUUCGGGUUGUAAAGCACUUUCAGCGGGGAGGAAGGCGAUAAGGUUAAUAACCUUGUCGAUUGACGUUACCCGCAGAAGAAGCACCGGCUAACUCCGUGCCAGCAGCCGCGGUAAUACGGAGGGUGCAAGCGUUAAUCGGAAUUACUGGGCGUAAAGCGCACGCAGGCGGUCUGUCAAGUCGGAUGUGAAAUCCCCGGGCUCAACCUGGGAACUGCAUUCGAAACUGGCAGGCUAGAGUCUUGUAGAGGGGGGUAGAAUUCCAGGUGUAGCGGUGAAAUGCGUAGAGAUCUGGAGGAAUACCGGUGGCGAAGGCGGCCCCCUGGACAAAGACUGACGCUCAGGUGCGAAAGCGUGGGGAGCAAACAGGAUUAGAUACCCUGGUAGUCCACGCCGUAAACGAUGUCGAUUUGGAGGUUGUGCCCUUGAGGCGUGGCUUCCGGAGCUAACGCGUUAAAUCGACCGCCUGGGGAGUACGGCCGCAAGGUUAAAACUCAAAUGAAUUGACGGGGGCCCGCACAAGCGGUGGAGCAUGUGGUUUAAUUCGAUGCAACGCGAAGAACCUUACCUGGUCUUGACAUCCACAGAACUUUCCAGAGAUGGAUUGGUGCCUUCGGGAACUGUGAGACAGGUGCUGCAUGGCUGUCGUCAGCUCGUGUUGUGAAAUGUUGGGUUAAGUCCCGCAACGAGCGCAACCCUUAUCCUUUGUUGCCAGCGGUUAGGCCGGGAACUCAAAGGAGACUGCCAGUGAUAAACUGGAGGAAGGUGGGGAUGACGUCAAGUCAUCAUGGCCCUUACGACCAGGGCUACACACGUGCUACAAUGGCAUAUACAAAGAGAAGCGACCUCGCGAGAGCAAGCGGACCUCAUAAAGUAUGUCGUAGUCCGGAUUGGAGUCUGCAACUCGACUCCAUGAAGUCGGAAUCGCUAGUAAUCGUAGAUCAGAAUGCUACGGUGAAUACGUUCCCGGGCCUUGUACACACCGCCCGUCACACCAUGGGAGUGGGUUGCAAAAGAAGUAGGUAGCUUAACCUUCGGGAGGGCGCUUACCACUUUGUGAUUCAUGACUGGGGUGAAGUCGUAACAAGGUAACCGUAGGGGAACCUGCGG
rnacentral:rRNA from 1 species